AACAAAUCGAUAUUUUUGUUACCGGUUUCACUAAAAGAACGUAUAGAAAGAUUUGUUACGUCCGUUCGUACACAGUCAAGGAGAAAUUAAGUUAAUGUGUGAUGAAGGUCGAGAGAUUAUUCACCUUCAUCCUGAUAACGUUCUUGAAUAUACGGUGACCGGAUACAGAUGGACAAACAGGAACAUCCGGACCUGCGAAGGAGGGAUGCCAAGAAGAAAAAAUAAAAAAAUAAAAUAAAAAAAGUGACUGUCAACGACCUCUAUUUUAUUGCAUCUCUUUCGACGGAAGUACUAAACGUCUACCGUUGUUAUGGUAACCGAUCGUAAAAAAUACUCCUUCUUCUUGUUGCAUAAAUGUCCCUGAAUGAACCGAAAGUCGAGCGUGGAUCCGAUCACUCGACCUUAAAUGCGGUUUUUCUCAAUGCCAGCAUCUUCUAUGAUAGCUUUCUGCUCAGUUUCACUCAAAAAAAUAAAUAAAUAAAUAAAUA